ACUGCCUCCUUGGAAGUAUUGGGAGUGAGUUCUGCCCUUUGGAAUGGGGUCUGUCAGCAGAAGGAGCAGCAACUGCACCUGGAGAUUGCUUCCUUUAGAGCGUGGGGUGAACCCUUGAAACUGGGACUGUGACCUUUCCUGUUUUUGGGGCAUCCUGACCACAUUGAAGUGCUGGCAGAUGUAAGGGCAGCAUUGAUCUCUGGAGACUGUCUCCUGUGGAGCAGGGGGCUGUUAUGCACUGCUUCCAACCAUGCAGAGUUGUUUAAGGGCGUUCUGUGCACCCUUAGGUGUAAUAAAUCUUCGUCUUUAUAGAAAGCCAAGGAUUGUCCUCUUCUGGACUGCUGUACUCAGUAUCACCCCAGUGUGAUGAAGUGAAGCCCCUGCUCUGCUGAAUACUGGGACUGGCCCAGAGAGGCUCUGAUGGAUGUGGAUUAUCCUAGCCAGAGUACUUGGUACCAUUGGUGGUGAUCUCGUCCAACUGCCACACAAUGAACAGGAACAUCCACAGCCAGAUCUGGCUGCCCAGAGGCUGACCCAGCCUCACCUUGGAAGGGACGGGGCAUCCAUCACAUGUCUGGGGACUUCACCUGACUGCCUCGACUUCUCAAAUACCACUGAGAGUGGCUCGGUGACUGCAGCGGUGAAUUCCCUCAGGGCUCUGGGACUCGUCUCAUCAGGACCCAAAGACUCCUGGAUGUCAGGUUCUCAGGUGGCUGCGGAGUUGCAGCGCUCCCGAGUGCCGUAACGACUGCAUGGAGAUGCGUGGCUCUUCAUGGGAACAGCAAGGAACCGGAAUCUGCAUUUCCUGGAAUGCCCCAGAGCCUCGCUUUGCUGGCUGGUAAUUGUCUGCCCAGCAGGUGGCAGCAGAGCUGCGUUGCUCCUGAGCACUUUAAGGACAGCACGGAGAUGCGCGGCUCUUCAUGGCAGCAGCAGAAACUGGAAUCUGCAUUUCCUGGAAUGCCCCGGAACCUCGCUUUGCUGGCCGGUAAUUGUCUGCCCAGCAGGUGAAGAUGCCUUCGAUGCUUCCAGUUGAUGGCUUCCCCCCUGCGAUGCCAUCGUCUUUCCAGUCCUCCCGCACUCACCGCCUGCUCGGUUCAGUCCAGCUGUUACCUGAAUCCCUGCUCCAUUCCCUUUCCUGAGUGCUGUAAGGACAGCAUGGAGAUGUGCGGCUCUUCAUGGCAGCAGCAGGAACCGGAAUCUGCAUUUCCUGGAACGCCCUGGAACCCCACUUUGCUGCCUGGUAAUUGUCUGCCCAGCAGGUGAAGAUGCCUUCGAUGCUUCCAGUCGAUGACUUCCCCCCUGCGAUGCCAUUGGCUUUCCUGGCCUCCCACAGUCACCGCCAGCUCAGUUCAGUUGAGCUGUUACCCGAAUCCCCACUCCGUUCCCUUUCCAUGAUUUCCAUGAUCUUCCUGUCACUCUGCCACAAGCCCCCACCAAGGUCAUCGCAGGCAACGUGUGGGAUGCAGCACUCGGUCUCAUUACAGUUCAUCCCAUCAGCUUCAGCCCAGCGAUCCAACCCACCCGCACCCUUCCUGAGGGCCCUUCUGCUCCCAGGCCAAUCAACGCUUCCUUCUGAUGCCAUCUGCAUUCCUUCCUGGCCACUUUCAGACUCGUGCCCCUUUGUGGCCAUUUUGAGAGUUGCGCUGAUUUCAGCGUCUGCAUUCAAUUGACUUCAACCAAAUUGGCUUUAGCUUUACAUUCAAUUAAUGUAAACCAAAUUGGCUUUAGUUUUACAUUCACUUAAUGUAAACCAAAUUGGCAUUAGUUUUACAUUCACUUAAUGUAAACCAAAUUGGCUUUAGUUUUACAUCCAAAUUAUGUAAACCAAAUUGGCUUUAAGUUUGCCUUGCUUACGGGGUUGGGUUAGCUUUGCUUUGUUUGUUCUAGCGCAGGGCUAACCCAACCCCGUAACCAAGGGCCGGCGGAGGCGAUUUUGUUCCUUCCCGGCCAGUCUGAGACUUGCGCCCCCUUGUGGCCAUUUGAUGAUCUGUGCUGAUUUCAGCAUCUGCAUUCAAUUAAUCUCAACCAAAUUGGCUUUAGCCUUGCAGUCAUUUUGCAUCAACCAAAUUGGCUUUGGUUUUGCAUUCAACUUAUUUCAACCAAAUUGGCUUUAGUUUUACAUUCACUUGACUUCAAUCAAAUUGGCUUUAGCUUUACACUCAAUUAUUGUAAACCAAAUUGGCUUUAGUUUUACAUCCAAAUUAUGUAAACCAAAUUGGCUUUAAGUUUGCCUUGCUUACGGGGUUGGGUUAGCUUUGCUUUGUUUGUUCUAGCGCAGGGCUAACCCAACCCCGUAACCAAGGGCCGGCGGAGGCGAUUUUGUUCCUUCCCGGCCAGUCUGAGACUUGCGCCCCCUUGUGGCCAUUUGAUGAUCUGUGCUGAUUUCAGCGUCUGCAUUCAAUUAAUCUCAACCAAAUUGGCUUUAGCCUUGCAGUCAUUUUGCAUCAACCAAAUUGGCUUUGGUUUUGCAUUCAACUUAUUUCAACCAAAUUGGCUUUAGUUUUACAUUCACUUGACUUCAAUCAAAUUGGCUUUAGCUUUACACUCAAUUAUUGUAAACCAAAUUGGCUUUAGUUUUACAUCCAAAUUAUGUAAACCAAAUUGGCUUUAAGUUUGCCUUGCUUACGGGGUUGGGUUAGCUUUGCUUUGUUUGUUCUAGCGCAGGGCUAACCCAACCCCGUAACCAAGGGCCGGCGGAGGCGAUUUUGUUCCUUCCCGGCCAGUCUGAGACUUGCGCCCCCUUGUGGCCAUUUGAUGAUCUGUGCUGAUUUCAGCGUCUGCAUUCAAUUAAUCUCAACCAAAUUGGCUUUAGCCUUGCAGUCAUUUUGCAUCAACCAAAUUGGCUUUGGUUUUGCAUUCAACUUAUUUCAACCAAAUUGGCUUUAGUUUUACAUUCACUUGACUUCAAUCAAAUUGGCUUUAGCUUUACACUCAAUUAUUGUAAACCAAAUUGGCUUUAGUUUUACAUCCAAAUUAUGUAAACCAAAUUGGCUUUAAGUUUGCCUUGCUUACGGGGUUGGGUUAGCUUUGCUUUGUUUGUUCUAGCGCAGGGCUAACCCAACCCCGUAACCAAGGGCCGGCGGAGGCGAUUUUGUUCCUUCCCGGCCAGUCUGAGACUUGCGCCCCCUUGUGGCCAUUUGAUGAUCUGUGCUGAUUUCAGCGUCUGCAUUCAAUUAAUCUCAACCAAAUUGGCUUUAGCCUUGCAGUCAUUUUGCAUCAACCAAAUUGGCUUUGGCUUUGCAUUCAACUUAUUUCAACCAAAUUGGCUUUAGUUUUACAUUCACUUGACUUCAAUCAAAUUGGCUUUAGCUUUACACUCAAUUAUUGUAAACCAAAUUGGCUUUAGUUUUACAUCCAAAUUAUGUAAACCAAAUUGGCUUUAAGUUUGCCUUGCUUACGGGGUUGGGUUAGCUUUGCUUUGUUUGUUCUAGCGCAGGGCUAACCCAACCCCGUAACCAAGGGCCGGCGGAGGCGAUUUUGUUCCUUCCCGGCCAGUCUGAGACUCGCGCCCCCUUGUGGCCAUUUGAAGAGUUGCGCUGAUUUCAGCGUCUGCAUUCAAUUAAUCUCAACCAAAUUUGGCUUUAGCCUUGCAGUCAUUUUGCAUCAACCAAAUUGGCUUUGGCUUUGCAUUCAACUUAAUUCAACCAAAUUGGCUUUAGUUUUACAUCCAAUUAACGUAAACCAAAUUGGCUUUAGCAUUGCCUUGCUUACGGGGUUGGGUUAGCUUUGCUUUGUUUGUUCCUAGGCAGGGCUAACCCAACCCCGUAACCAAGGGCCGGCGGAGGCGAUUUUGUUCCUCCCGGCCAGUCUGAGACUCGCGCCCCUUUGUGGCCGUUCUGAGAAUUGCAAUGUCUUUGGAUGGGCUGAGAUCUGCACUGCUUUUGAGGUGGGUUCUCACAAAUGCGGUGUCACUAAUGGGGUAUGGUGUGUUUGUACUCUUUCUCUGGUUGGUCUGAUGUCUAUGUGAACCAUGUGUUACAGCUGUACUGCAUAUGUGUGUGCUGCGCCUGUAAAUUGCGUCGUGCCAUGUACGCAAUAUGUGUUAUGUUGCGCCUGUAAACUGUGUUGUGCCAUGUACAGAAUGUGUGGAUGCUGUGCCUAUAAACUAUGUUUGGGAAUCACAGACCCCUAUUCAUUACAUGUUCUGCUUCUCAAUGCA